rnacentral:rRNA from 1 species
CCUACGGGCGGCUGCAGUGGGGAAUCUUGCACAAUGGGGGAAACCCUGAUGCAGCGACGCCGCGUGGAGGAUGAAUGGUCUAGGCCUGUAAACUCCUUUUACCAGGAAAGACUUAGGACGGUACCUGGUGAAUAAGCCCCGGCUAACUACGUGCCAGCAGCCGCGGUAAGACGUAGGGGGCAAGCGUUGUCCGGAUUUACUGGGCGUAAAGGGCGCGUAGGCGGCCUGUUAAGUGUGAAGUGAAAUCUCCAGAGCUCAACUCGGAAACGGCUUCGCAUACUGGCAGGCUUGAGGAAUGCAGAGGUGAAUAGAAUUCCUGGUGUAGCGGUGAAAUGCGUAGAUAUCAGGAGGAAUACCCAUGGCGAAGGCAGUUCACUGGGCAUUAUCUGACGCUGAGGCGCGAAAGCGUGGGGAGCAAACAGGAUUAGAUACCCCAGUAGUC